AUACCAUGAUGUGGACACCUUCUUAACAACUCUUUAAAUCUUUCCCAUGCAUCAUACAAUGAUUCCUCUUCUGUCUGGUGGAAAUUAUCGAUUUCCCUUCUCAACUU